rnacentral:rRNA from 1 species
CCUACGGGUGGCAGCAGUGAGGAAUAUUGGUCAAUGGGCGCGAGCCUGAACCAGCCAAGUAGCGUGAAGGAUGACUGCCCUACGGGUUGUAAACUUCUUUUAUAAAGGAAUAAAGUGAGGCACGUGUGCCUUUUUGUAUGUCCUUUAUGAAUAAGGCUCGGCUAACUCAGUGCCAGCAGCCGCGGUAAUACGGAGGAUCCGAGCGUUAUCCGGAGUUAUUGGGUUUAAAGGGAGCGUAGAUGGUUUGUUAAGUCAGUUGUGAAAGUUUGCGGAUCAACCGUAGAAUUGCAAUUGAUACUGGCAGGCUUGAGUACAGUUGAGGUAGGCGGAAUUCGUGGUGGAGCGGUGAAAUGCUUAGAGAUCACGAAGAACUCCGAUUGCGAAGGCAGCUUACUAGACUGCCACUGACAUUGAUGCUCGAAAGUGUGGGUAUCAAACAGGAUUAGAUACCCUGGUAGUC